rnacentral:rRNA from 1 species
CGGCUACCAUGCAGUCGAGCGCCCCGCAGGGGGAGCGGCAGACGGGUGAGUAACGCGUGGGAAUCUACCCAUCACUACGGAACAACUCCGGGAAACUGGAGCUAAUACCGUAUACGUCCUUCGGGAGAAAGAUUUAUCGGUGAUGGAUGAGCCCGCGUUGGAUUAGCUAGUUGGUGGGGUAAUGGCCUACCAAGGCGACGAUCCAUAGCUGGUCUGAGAGGAUGAUCAGCCACACUGGGACUGAGACACGGCCCAGACUCCUACGGGAGGCAGCAGUGGGGAAUAUUGGACAAUGGGCGCAAGCCUGAUCCAGCCAUGCCGCGUGAGUGAUGAAGGCCCUAGGGUUGUAAAGCUCUUUCAACGGUGAAGAUAAUGACGGUAACCGUAAAAAAAGCCCCGGCUAAUUUCGUGCCAGCACCCCGGGAAAAUAAG